rnacentral:rRNA from 1 species
UACGUAGGGGGCAAGCGUUGUCCGGAUUUAUUGGGCGUAAAGGGCGCGUAGGCGGCGCAACAAGUCACUUGUGAAAUCUCCGGGCUUAACCCGGAGCGGCCAAGUGAUACUGUCGUGCUAGAGUGCGGAAGGGGCUACUGGAAUUCUCGGUGUAGCGGUGAAAUGCGUAGAUAUCGAGAGGAACACCUGCGGCGAAGGCGGGUAGCUGGGCCGACACUGACGCUGAGGCGCGAAAGCCAGGGGAGCGAACGGG